rnacentral:rRNA from 1 species
GAUGAACGCUGGCGGCGUGCCUAAUACAUGCAAGUCGAGCGAACAGACGAGGAGCUUGCUCCUUUGACGUUAGCGGCGGACGGGUGAGUAACACGUAGGUAACCUACCUAUAAGACUGGGAUAACUUCGGGAAACCGGAGCUAAUACCGGAUAAUAUUUCGAACCGCAUGGUUCGAUAGUGAAAGAUGGCUUUGCUAUCACUUAUAGAUGGACCUGCGCCGUAUUAGCUAGUUGGUAAGGUAACGGCUUACCAAGGCAACGAUACGUAGCCGACCUGAGAGGGGGAUCGGCCACACUGGAACUGAGACACGGUCCAGACCCCUACGGGAGGAAGCAGUAGGGAAUCUUCCGCAAUGGGCGAAAGCCUGACGGAGCAACGCCGCGUGAGUGAUGAAGGUCUUCUGAUCGUAAACCUUUGUAUUAGGGAAGAACAAACGUGUAAGUAACUGUGCACGUCUUGACGGUACCUAAUCAGAAAGCCACGGCUAACUACGUG